rnacentral:rRNA from 1 species
UGGCUCAGAACGAACGCUGGCGGCGUGCAUAAUGCAUGCAAGUCGCACGCAGAGUGCUUGCACUCUGAGUGGCGCACGGCUGAGGAACACGUGGGAACCUGCCCGUUUGUGGGGGAUAACCCACCGAAAGGUGAGCUAAUCCCGCAUACGCUCGGCGACGAGGAAAGCGGUAACGCGCAGGCGGAGGGGCCCGCGGCCCAUCAGGUCGUUGGUGCGGUAAUGGCGCACCAAGCCGCGGGGCAAGUAGCUGGUCUGUGAGGAUGACCAGCCAGACUGGGAUUUUUUCUCGGCCCAGGGACGUACGGGAGGCA